GCAAGUCGAGCGGUAGAUUGAUUAAAGAAGCUUCGGUGGAAUUAAUUGAUUGAGAGCGGCGAACGGGUGAGUAACACGUUGGUAUCUGCCCCCAAGUCAGGGAUAGCCAUUGGAAACGAUGAUUAAUACCGGAUAGUCUCUUCGGAGUAAAGAUUUAUUGCUUGGGGAGGAGCCUGCGUUCUAUCAGCUAGUUGGUAGUGUAAAAGACUACCAAGGCUAUGACGGAUACCUGGUCUGAGAGGAUGAUC
rnacentral:rRNA from 1 species